GAUACAAUUCUGCAAGAGGACCUGCUGCCUUUGAAACUAUUGUUUUGACACUGUGCAGAGAUUGUCACAAAGGAUUGCCAUUCCUCUCCCAUGGCAGACACAUUCUUGAGAAAUGACAAGUACUUCGGCACUGUCAAAGUCUCCAAAUUGUAAUAAAAGAACAGUGUUUUGGCACAAGAUUGUCACAACACUGCAAAGAUGACAAAAAACUGUUGUAUUCCCUCAAAUUCUCUCCAACACUGUUGUUGAGUUUAAUGCAUGUGAGAGCUUGAACUCAGCUGGUUUGAAGAGGUAGAGGGGCAAAUGCUGACAUACCUUUAUCUUUGAUGGCUGGGGUUUUCUUCCCUUCAGAUUAAACUGAUAUUACCAGAACAAUGCUCUUUCAUCAUAUUGAACCCACCAGAGGCAUCCUGAACUCCAGCAGAGCAUCUCAAAAGAAGAAUAAGCAGAAGUGGCAUCAUGAAACACAAUUUUCACCAGUCAGUACUCCUAAACUGCAGAUUCACAAGGUGAUAACACUACGAAAGUUGGGAUGGCUACAGCUGAAGGCAUUGUUCUCUUAGGGAAGUUUCCAAAUCCACCACAAAGUGUAAUUUUGUCAUACAGGCAAGCACAGCUGAUUAAUCUAAGUUAAUGCCACUCAAUUCUCUCAGGAAUGUUUGCUGUUAGCCUUUACACAGAGUUGAACAAACAAAAUGCUAAGCAAUACCAUUCUCUGAGUUCUCUCUCUCUGCAGGCCUAGCUUGUCCCUACAAAUUAUUCACAGGACUUCUCUGUCUCACUAGAACAUGGAAAUGUAUAGUAUCCACAACUGAAGAAGAAUGAUGGAUGCUUAAAAAGGGCUCAGAAAGCUGCUUUGGGGAAGAUUAUGAUUAGAAAAAAAUUACUAGUGAUGGACAAAAGGAUCUCAGUCUUCUUGGUUUAUUUAAGGAAUUGCUAAAUAUCAGUGUCAAUGGGUAAUGGAUUUGGUUAUCUAUGCUGAGAUAGAACCAUAUGAAGAGAGUAGAUCUAGGUUAUACCAAAUAAUGCAGAGAAUUAGCUAAAAGUAAGCCAUAACUAAAAGCAAAGAGUAAAUUUUUUAGCAAAUCCAACUGAUUUUCAAGUAUCCAGAAGGAUUUUAAGAACCAGAGGAUUCUUUUUUAAAAGUUAUAUUCUCCAUUCAGACACCAGCUAGUUCAGUACAACCUAUGGCUCCGAUUUUCAGAAGUCAGAAAUAGUCAGUGCACUUUCUAUGAAAAAAAAUUGAAGCGAAAAAGUAGCCAAUUCUAUCAUACAUGGACAUUUGCCAGUAUUGUAAAGGACCCAUACAGUUUAUUUGAUUACUUUUAAAUAAAAGUUGGUUGCUCAAAGCUUGUUAUUUCCCAAAGAUUUAAAGCUUUGUUUGGAAACUGUUUGCUUGGCAACUUCUAAACUCUUUAUGUCAUCCCACUGUGACUAUAUAAAUGGCCUCAUCAUACUGGCAUUUUCCUUCAAAAGGCAUAACAAGCCAACUAGUUUCUCCCUACCUCAUUCACAGCCACCUGCCAUAAAUACUUUGUAUUUGAUUAUUGCUAAGCUGAAUUCCAAGCACCCAAUUCACCCUGGUUUAUAGCCUCAUAACAGUCUGGGUUAUAAAUGAUUAUCAUCUCCCAAAUGGCAGCAACCAGCGCUGUUACUGUAUCCUGUAACUUCUCAUGAGAAAGGCAUGGGAGCAGCAUCUGCUGUAGCUUGAGCAUUUCAUUAGGCAGGCUGUUUGCUUUUCUUACAGAGCAAAGACUGAGGUGUGUACCUCCUCCAGAUCUAUCAGGCAGAUAGGUGGGCCAGACAAGGUAGAGGAUUUAAAAGAGAUCACCUAUGAAAACUGCACAAACUGGAAUGCUCCAGAAGCGUUCUCCCAGUCCCUAAGGGCCAUUUCUUCCCUUUAUACCACCACUUGAAAGACUGAGACACUCUCCUAGCAUUCAGAGCAUAAUAUCCCCUCCUGCUGAGUUCAAAAAUCAAACUGACUACGAUUUUGACAAGUUGAGUUAAAAAACCAGAACAACCACAUGAGCUACCUUCAGUGACUUUCCCUCCCCUGCAGGAACACAUCCAAAAUAUUCAGUAUAUGCACUUCAUCACAGCAGACAAGCAGCCAACAAAGAAUAAUCUGCCCCACUGACUUUCAUACACCCAUUUCUAAUUGUUCUUCAGCACAGCUUUUGGGGAGGAAGGACGAGGCAAAGUCAGCAAUUCAGCUUUCUGAAUGAGCACAAAGCGUGGCCAGGAGCGCUCUAACAGCAGUAUCACGAUGACAGUCAAGAGGCCACUGUCCACACGGUCAUGGUGGAGCACGGGACCACAGCUGGAAGCCAGAAUGAGUUGGCAAACAUCUUGUUCCAACUUCUGCUGUGCCAUCUGGCUUCCAGUGAGGUGACUGACGUUAAAUGUAUUUUCUCUGUAUUGCCAUCUGGCAGCUGCUUGUACAACAACAGAGUAACAUGCAGAAUUUGGCUAAGAGUUAUCCCAAGAAUCACAUCAAGGAUACUUCUAACACAGGCUCUGAAACGGCAAAAAGCUUAGGAGGAAAGUUUGUCAGCUGCAGGCUUUACAGGCACAGAGUAUUGCAGCUCUUUCACAGGAAUGAAAGAGACAAUAAUCUGCUCAAACCCCAACAAUAUAAGAGAAAACAGAAGUAUGACGAGUUUUGACUGCACAUAAAGAAUAAUUUGGGACUCAACCAUCAAGCAUUUUAUCAAUAAUACAGCAAAGACAUCAGUACAACAUGAGCCCAGGACACGUCUGUGAGGAGUGCAGGUUUCCCACUGCAGACCUGGAAUGAUUUGACAUCUCACUUGCUUCAAUUUCCAAAAUCCACCAUGAGACUCCCUGAAGGAAAUUUGGCUCAGAGCAGGAUGGCACCUGAACUGGACAAAAUCUUCUGACAUCUCCAGCUGCAGCCCUGUCCAUACUCUCAUUUACCAGUGAGAUGAAGGUGUUGCCACAUCAACUUGUCCCCUGUGGCAGUGAUAAACCCUGGCACUAAGAGCACAUGCAUGCUGUCCACAGCUGAGCUGAAAGAGUCUUAUGGAAGUCAGUGUGAAAAAUCGUUGAAGAGAAACCUUCAAAGCAUAUCUGGAAGAGCAUGAAACCGAUGGGAAAAGACCACUGUCAUUUUUAUCCAUCCUAAAUCAUCAGCAUCACUGCAAGAGUGAGAACAGAGGUCAGCAAUGAGCCUUUCUGCCUGUGCCAAUGGGGUUUUCCUCUGGGCCUCAGACAGGGCUAUCUUCUUCAGAAAAUGCUGCCUCUUGUUGAUGGAAAGUGAGUGCUGGACCUUGGGUCUGCUGCCCUACAGCACCUGCAGCUCCUUUUACCAGAGCAGGCACGUGGAAAACACAGGUCUGAAAAAGUUGCCCAGGACAGCACAGAUGCCUAUCUGGGUGAGAUGCAUCCUUGCAUGAGCUUCUCCCAUGAGCAGAAUUGCAGGCUUUGCAAGCAUUAUUAUUGGGGGUGUCUUCCUUCUUCAAAAAGCCAAGUCAUCACAUUUAAAAGUGAGUUUUUGGGGAUGCCAAAACCCUUUUAAAAAUCCCUCUGGUCCUUGUACUGUAAACUUAGCAGCAAAACCUUUGAGAAUACAGGAAUGGAAACUUGAUGCCUGCAGCAAUUCUCUCUAAGCUCAUACCGUUUGUGAAUAAAGGUUAAUAAUGUUUGAAA